rnacentral:rRNA from 1 species
ACACAUGCAAGUCGAACGGUAACAGGAAGCAGCUUGCUGCUUCGCUGACGAGUGGCGGACGGGUGAGUAAUGUCUGGGAAACUGCCUGAUGGAGGGGGAUAACUACUGGAAACGGUGGCUAAUACCGCAUAACGUCGCAAGACCAAAGAGGGGGACCUUCGGGCCUCUUGCCAUCAGAUGUGCCCAGAUGGGAUUAGCUAGUUGGUGAGGUAACGGCUCACCAAGGCGACGAUCCCUAGCUGGUCUGAGAGGAUGACCAGCCACACUGGAACUGAGACACGGUCCAGACUCCUACGGGAGGCAGCAGUGGGGAAUAUUGCACAAUGGGCGCAAGCCUGAUGCAGCCAUGCCGCGUGUAUGAAGAAGGCCUUCGGGUUGUAAAGUACUUUCAGCGGGGAGGAAGGUGUUGUGGUUAAUAACCGCAGCAAUUGACGUUACCCGCAGAAGAAGCACCGGCUAACUCCGUGC